rnacentral:lncRNA from 1 species
AAAAACUCCACUAUAACAAUAAGAAGGUUAAAAAAGUUCUCCAAAUUUGCUAUACAACAAAUGCCAAAUACGGAGCAACAACAGUAACAAGAGCAACAACUAAUUAAUUGAAGAAAGAGGAGAAUCCACAAAAACGAAGCUGAUGUUUGAGGCUCAAAAGCAAAUUCUAAGAGCCUCCAAAUCCAAUCUCCACCGUUCAAAUCCAAGACCAAGAUGUUACGAACCCUUAAUAACAAAUUUAGCCCGAUCCACCGGUUAACGUAUCGGAAAACGUGAUAUGAAUAUUGUCUGUUCGGAAUAAAAAUCUGCAGCAAAACAAAUACUUUGCUUCUCUCUUCUCUCUUGAUGAAAGCUCUCUCAAAACUCACUUUAUGUGCUUAAGUCUUUCAAAUACUUGUAUCAAUAAGCAUAGAAUAAUUCUUUGAGGUUGUCCAAUUUAUAGAUCAUGAGUGAUGCUUUCUCUUAAGCCAAAACUCACUCAAAAUAAGAAUAAACCGAAUCCAAUUCCGAAUAGAGUUGAAAACCAAAAGAGAAUAGGAUUAGGCCAUUGGGCCUUUGGUUGGACACCAUGGGCAUGAGCCCAAAAGUCACAUGGUAGAUUCAAAAUGUUAAAAAUAAAAAUAAAAUUCAAACAUAAAAAUCAUCUAUUCCGAUAGAUGAUUUUCUCGUUUCCUCUUAUCCUUACCCCACUCUCUUCUUAUUUUAUGUUUCUACUAUCAUAUGUGUUUUAGAUCUGGAACUUUGGCCGGAACUUUCGCGGACAGUGACUCUUAUGUUGUAUUGCACCUCGUCGAUUGGGAGGUCUGUCACUUCUGACAGGUGGUGGAGAGGCCAACAUCGCCGAGAGUUAUGGUUUUGGAACUAGAGGCGGCAAAGGAGGCCUUGAGGUUUUUUAGGGUUUGGAGGAUGACAGAAUCAAAUUUUAGCUUAGAUUUGAAAGGGAGGCCAUCAGAAUCGGAGUUGGAGUCGUGAGAUGCUCGCCGACGUUUCUUCUUGUCCACUAAAAUUCGAUUAUGUCAACCUCCAAACCCUAAAACCCCUCAAGGCAUCCUUUGCCGUCUCCAGUUCCAAAACCAUAACUCUCGAUGAUGUUGGCCUCUCCACCCAUUUUUCUUUGGAGGAUGACGGAGUCUUUUAUUUUUUGCUUAGGAGAAGAAGAAGAAGAAGCGUAUAGGGAAAAGAAGAAAACAAAAAGGAGAGGGGUGGGGGCAAGAAGCUAGUCAGAAGAAGAAAAAUGGGGUGGGGGCACGGGGAAUUUUGUUUUUUGCUUUUUUCUUUUUUACAUAUUUUAUUUUAUUUUUCAUUCUUAUUUUAAUUAUUUCUUAUUCAAAAUGUCAUAUUCACGCUCGUUGUGUGCGUAAACUACACUCGUAUUGUCCAGCUCAACCAUUUUGUUUCUACAUGUGCUUGGUCGAUGGUCAGAGGGGUUUAAAUAUAGGUUUUGAUCAAUUUAAAAUAUCUGGAUAAAACUUUAUAAAUUAAAGGGACCAGAAUGACAAACCGAAAAUCUGUAAUCUAUGAGAUGAAACUU